rnacentral:rRNA from 1 species
CGGAGGGUGCGAGCGUUGUCCGGAAUCACUGGGCGUAAAGGGCGCGUAGGUGGCGCCGCAAGUCAACGGUGAAAGCUCAGCGCUCAACGCCGAGUCGGCCGUCGAGACUGCGGGGCUCGAGCACUGUAGAGGCAGAUGGAAUUCCGGGUGUAGCGGUGGAAUGCGUAGAGAUCCGGAAGAACACCGGUGGCGAAGGCGGUCUGCUGGGCAGUAGCUGACACUGAGGCGCGACAGCGUGGGGAGCAAACAGGAUUAGAUACCCUGGUAGUCCACGCCGUAAACGAUGGGCACUAGGUGCUUGGGGGAGCGACCCUCUGAGUGCCGACGCUAACGCAUUAAGUGCCCCGCCUGGGGAGUACGGCCGCAAGGCUG